CAUUUCACAUUUCAUUCACUUCAUUCUUCUUUCUCUCACUCUUUUUGUUCCAAUAUGCAUAUGCAGUUUUUUUUUACUUUCCAUAUUAUUCUUUUUGUCUGACCAGUUGAACUUUUUCUUGCAGGAAACAAACUAGAAAACAAGCAAAGUUAAUCAAAUUUAAGGAAGCAAAAAGAAAAACUUUAUUUGUAUAAACUUCUUUUCCAUGAUUCUACAACAGUGGUGCGUACAAGAGGAGCAGACGGUAGAAUUAGGCAUAACAGAGGACGUGGAGAGUCUCGGCCACAUCAGGAGGAGCCGGAACACGAUGAGAUGCCGCCAGUGCAUGAGGAGCAGGUUGAGGAGCAGGCUGAGCAGCAGCCUGUGCAGCAGGCUUGGCCUGGAGGGCCGAUCGAUACGAGUCUUUUGACUCGAUACGAGCAUCAUGUUGCUCGUCAUGUAUGGUUUGGUCAGGAACGUGUCGAAGGUGACAAAAUUGAGCUACGAAUAGUAUCUUUAGGAAGAAAGUUAGCUGACAGGAUUCCUGAUUACCAUCCUGAAGUUAUUCAAGGGUAGUUGAAUAUUUCGGGGUUGUGCUGGCUUGAGCGGACUAGCUUGAAAUUUACCGAUCCGCAGCUUAUAUCCGCAUUUGUUGAGAGGUGGCACCCUGAGACAUCGUCAUUUCACAUGUCGUUCGGCGAGAUGACUAUUACUUUGGACGAUGUGGCAUGUCUUCUGCAUCUACCUGUUAGGGGUCAGUUUUAUACUCCUGUAUCAGUUUCUCAAGAACAAGCUGCGGAACUUGCAGUUGAGUUGUUAGGAGAGGAGUAUGACUUUGCAUUGCGAGAGACUGUAUUGCAGAGGGGUGGUUAUUUUUCACAGCAGUGGCUAUAUGAGAGUUAUAUGAGGAAUGCCAAUUACUACGGGAAACAUGACUGCGCAGCUAGGGCAUGGAUGUUGAUGUUGGUGGGAUCUACCAUUCUGGCCGAUAAGAGUUAUACACGUGUGGAUGCCAAAUGGCUACUUCUGUUUAGUGAUUUGUCUGCAGUCCAUACAUAUUCGUGGGCCAGUAUUGCAUUAGUUUGUUUAUACGAUAACUUGAACGAUGCAUCCAUGUUUUCUACGAGGGCCCUUGCAGGGUAUGCGACACUUCUUUAGUGUUGGAUUCACGAGUAUUUUCCUACCCUUGGUAGGCGGGCUCAGUUGAAUCUUAAUUGUGAUGAUCCUGGCUUUCCUCGAGCUAUGCGGUGGAUGUAUAAGCAAGGGAAGACCAAGCUCCCCGACUAUCGACCUAUAUUGGAUGCACUGACCCCUGAUGACGUGAUAUGGCGUCCGUUUGAGACUCACAGAGGUAGCAUUCCUUUUGAUCUGAUUACUCUGUAUAGUGGUCAUCUGCGUGGAUCCACGGUAGUUCCUUACUUUCCCGAGAGGUGUAUUAGGUAGUUUGGAUUUGUACAGUAUAUACCACCACCACCACCUCUAGCUCCUGCCUACUCUGAUAUUGAUAGCGACUGGAUUGGUUAUCACGCGUCUGUUGAUCGGAUCCUUCAGCCGACACGUCCAGUGACAUAUGCUUAUGAGACUGUACCUGAUUACAUGUCCUGGUACUAUAGGGUAUCACAUCCUAGACUGUGUCGCCCUGUUGAUGGACCACAUGGAGCACCACCAGUUCCGCACUAUGCACCUGCACCUGCACCUGCACCAGAUGCCCCAGUAGACGAUGCACCAGUAGACGAUGCACCAGCAGAUGAUGCAUCACAAGAAACUGCACUACAGCGUGAGCGGAGAUGGAGAGGUAUGGCUCGAGGCGCGCUUGAGACAUUUCUUACGAGGAUAGACGCUGAUAGGGAUGAUGAGGAUUUUGAGGAGCUUUUUUUUGCACUAGAUGUAUGUCGUGGUGCAUACCCAUGACUAGUUUUUUUUGUUAUGUUUUUUUGAACACUGGUUUAUGUACUUUUAUUUUUGGAUUGUGUAUUUUGUUGAACUAAUUUUACUAUAUCGUGUACUUUAUUUAGAUUAUAAACUUUAUCGAUCAAAUGUUUUUUGUA